UUUUCGUCUUUUCAAACACUCUGAGAAACUCUAACAAAGUGAAACACGCGUUGCGCGUAGAUAUAACUUAACCUAAAACCGUGACGGAUAUACGGAUGUGUACAAAAUGUGUAUUAUAUAGUCUCUAACAGUUCCACUGAGCGAAGCUUAUUGCCGCCGGUACACCGCAUGAAUACUGCAUGCACAGUCACAUCGUAGCUAUCUUCUCGAACAGUGUCAGCUCCUUUCUAGUCCAUUCACACUGCCUCGAUUUAUCGAUAUCAUCGAAACGGUCGGCAAUCGCCAUGGUCACGGAACCACAUUAUCCAGAAUCGAUUAACCGACGAGAGAUAGAAGUGGAUGUAAAAUCGAUUAAUCGAGAUGGAAUAGUGCGGACGGUAUAAUCGAUUAAUUGGAAGAGAACUAGAUAGAUUUAACCAGAUUUCACGACACGUUGUUCCACAACGAGUGACGUUAAUUGCCGCGCAACUGGCAACCAUUUCCGGUCCAGUUAAUAAAAUCCAGAGGAACUGUUUAACGAUACAAUGCCACGUUUCUCGGUGGAGGAAGCUUAUCAGUGGUUCCCGUAGGCGUUUUAAUCAGUCCAUCUCGAUGAAACUAUUUCAGAGUUUUCGAAACGAUGGGUCUCUGGAAAGUGGAAGUGGACACGUUUCAACAGGAACGUAGAAGAAACGUUUUAGUCGACGAACAUAUUGACUUAGGAUUAAAUUGGUCAGUUUAAACAACAGGAUGUGAAAGUUACAUGGAAACCAAUUUGCGCAUCUCAACUUCCUUUGUGAACCAAAACGCUUCAGUCCUUUACAGGAAUGAUGAAGUCAGGCUUGCCUAUUCGAUUUUUAUUACUGGAUUUACAUCGUUUUUCCUCUUUGGCCUUUUUCAAAAAUUCAUGCAUAAAUAUCACUUGACAAUCCCAUAUCACUUAAAUACAAUUUCUCUCGUAAAUUGUAUCGCAAUGGACGCUACAUUUCGCUACAACACGCUCGAAUGGGAGCUACGUGUACAAAAACAAAUAAAAACGGAUAGAAACGAAUAGCUGCGUUUACAUUAUUCGAAACGGUAGCGUCGUUACAGGAUGCUCGAUAAAGGACUCGGUAUCCUUUCCACUGUCCACCGGCCAAAUGUUCUGAUAAAGGCCACCAUCAAAGCAUCAACUCGAGCGAUCUUGCACCGCUGUUAUAGGAAUGAUAAUCCAAAGGACGAGUUAUCAGAGACGCCUCUGCCAUCAACCAAAGAUACGUUCCACCAUUCUCGAUUGGCUGAAAUUCAACCUCCCGUAUCUGUGAAUUUUCUUUCGUCCAUUUCGUUGUUUUAUGCGCUCGAGCUUGUGAGAUCUGUUCUUAUCGUUAAAAACCAAUGUAAUUGACAAUGAAAUGCAAAUUAUUAUUAUUGUCGAUUGAGCUACUCGAGUAUUUCUGCAGUCAGAAAGAAAUUCUUUCAAAAAUAUCACUGGCAAAACUAGUGACAAUGAGCGAUUUUUUAUGCAAAUCUAUCGAGGGAAAAUCGAUUGAGAAGGCGAUAAGUAUGAAUGUGAGAUGCGAGUAAUCCGUUAUGGAGGAUUGGGAGGAUUUUGAGGACUCGACGAUCUGAGAAAUUGAAGGAUCUUGAUUCGAUUGCCGAUUAUCGCAUGGAACGGGAUGGUGGAAAAUUGCAUCGAUUUGGAAUAAGUGGAUCUGAAAAGAGUAAAUGAAAAUCAUCGAUUUUCGAUUCGAAUGCCGAGAUUAUCAAAUCGGCCAAUCUGUUUUAUUUCGUAUUUUCACAAAUAAGAAACAUUUCUAUAUAAAUUUUGAAAAACAAAUGUUUAAUUACUUCUUUA